GGAGGGUGGGAAGGUAUUGGUACUUAAGGUGGUGGAGGAUCUGCCUGCUCCUGGCGGUUGCUAUAGAAACGUGACGUCAACGAGGCGACCUUGAAGACUUUUUAAUGGAGACAGAAGUGCCUGGAGAAGAGAGCAGGUUUCGGCCUUAGGUGUUUGGAACUGAGUUGGGAGAGUGUCUGAAGGAGACAGCUUCUGAGGAUCAGUGUCCUGUUGACUGAUGGAGCUUCUACUCCAGGUUCAAGGGCAGCAGUCCUCAGGAGACCCCAGCACUUCACAUCUUCAGUUGGAUAUGACGCCUGACUCAAGAACCUGCAGUGAUGUCAGCCCCCUCCCACCUGCCCGUCCACUGGCCCAGACAAUCAGGAAUUGCCGCCCCAAGCUCCAGCCUUUGACUCCAAGUGUGGGAAAGUCAUCCGGACUGAGUGGGGUGCUGGAAGAGCAAGUGACUCAAAAAUGUCAACAGGAAAAAGCAAGACUAGCUCCAGACACAGAACCAGAAAAGAAAGAAAGCUUUUAGACAACAACUGCCCUAACAUCACAGAGUAAAACACAGCUGUGCCCUCAGCAUGGCAGCAAAGACUGAGUGGGAAAUGUGGAUUCCACGCUCACUUGAUUGUAACCAGCCCUCAUGCCUGUGGCCUUGCUCAUAUCAGGUGUCUGAAGGAGACAGCUUCUGAGGAUCAGUGUCCUGAUGGCUGAUGGAACUUCUACUCCGUUCAAGGGCAGCGGUCCUCAGGAGACCCCAACACUUCACAUCUUCAGUUGGCUAUGAGGCCUGACUUAAGUCCUUUGCAUUUCAAUGCAAAUUUUAGAAUCAGUCUGUCACUUCAUGGCAGAUAGAUGGAGAAACAGUGGAAACAGUGACAAACUUUAUUUUGGGGGACUCCAAAAUCACUGCAGAUGGUGACUGCAACCAUGAAAUUAAA